AUGUUUUCACAUGGUAUCAAGAGCCUCCCUCGUUUAAGAUUCGGUGGGCCACCUGCUAUCAGGUUUCCGCUAUCGGGCCAUCCACCAUUUAUUUCCACCCAACACAUGUUUUCACACACUCAAUGGGUGGACAAUUGUAUAUACGCAAUGGGUAGACAAUAUGCAUGCACGGCUAAUAUGCAUGCGCAUGAGAUAUAUAAAAAACAUUAA